rnacentral:rRNA from 1 species
CCUGAUCCAGCCAUACCGCGUGGGUGAAGAAGGCCUUCGGGUUGUAAAGCCCUUUUGUUGGGAAAGAAAUCCAGCUGGCUAAUACCCGGUUGGGAUGACGGUACCCAAAGAAUAAGCACCGGCUAACUUCGUGCCAGCAGCCGCGGUAAUACGAAGGGUGCAAGCGUUACUCGGAAUUACUGGGCGUAAAGCGUGCGUAGGUGGUUAUUUAAGUCCGUUGUGAAAGCCCUGGGCUCAACCUGGGAACUGCAGUGGAUACUGGAUGACUAGAAUGUGGUAGAGGGUAGCGGAAUUCCUGGUGUAGCAGUGAAAUGCGUAGAGAUCAGGAGGAACAUCCAUGGCGAAGGCAGCUACCUGGACCAACAUUGACACUGAGGCACGAAAGCGUGGGGAGCAAACAGGAUUAGAUACCCUGGUAGUCC